rnacentral:rRNA from 1 species
GAGCCCCAACUUCGGUGUUAGCGGCGAACGGGUGAGUACACGUGAGCAACCUGCCCCUGGCUCUGGGAUAGCCUCCGGAAACGGGGAUUAAUACCGGAUAUGACCUGCGUCCUCAUGGGCGCGGGUGGAAAGUUUUUCGGCCAGGGUGGGGCUCGCGGCCUAUCAGCUUGUUGGGGGGGUGACGGCCCACCAAGGCGACGACGGGUAGCCGGCCUGAGAGGGCGGCCGGCCACACUGGGACUGAGACACGGCCCAGACUCCUGCGGGAGGCAGCAGUGGGGAAUAUUGCGCAAUGGGGGAAACCCUGACGCAGCGACGCCGCGUGCGGGAUGAAGGCCUUCGGGUUGUAAACCGCUUUCAGCAGGGGCGAAUCUGACGGUACCUGCAGAAGAAGCGCCGGCUAACUACGUGCCAGCAGCCGCGGUAAU